UAUCAUUAACUGAAUCCAUAGGUUAAUGAGGCGAACCGGGGGAACUGAAACAUCUAAGUACCCCGAGGAAAAGAAAUCAACCGAGAUUCCCCCAGUAGCGGCGAGCGAACGGGGAGCAGCCCAGAGCCUGAAUCAGUGUGUGUGUUAGUGGAAGCGUCUGGAAAGGCGUGCGAUACAGGGUGACAGCCCCGUACACAAAAAUGCACAUAUUGUGAGCUCGAUGAGUAGGGCGGGACACGUGGUAUCCUGUCUGAAUAUGGGGGGACCAUCCUCCAAGGCUAAAUACUCCUGACUGACCGAUAGUGAACCAGUACCGUGAGGGAAAGGCGAAAAGAACCCCGGCGAGGGGAGUGAAAAAGAACCUGAAACCGUGUACGUACAAGCAGUGGGAGCACGCUUAGGCGUGUGACUGCGUACCUUUUGUAUAAUGGGUCAGCGACUUAUAUUCUGUAGCAAGGUUAACCGAAUAGGGGAGCCGAAGGGAAACCGAGUCUUAACUGGGCGUUAAGUUGCAGGGUAUAGACCCGAAACCCGGUGAUCUAGCCAUGGGCAGGUUGAAGGUUGGGUAACACUAACUGGAGGACCGAACCGACUAAUGUUGAAAAAUUAGCGGAUGACUUGUGGCUGGGGGUGAAAGGCCAAUCAAACCGGGAGAUAGCUGGUUCUCCCCGAAAGCUAUUUAGGUAGCGCCUCGUGAAUUCAUCUCCGGGGGUAGAGCACUGUUUCGGCAAGGGGGUCAUCCCGACUUACCAACCCGAUGCAAACUGCGAAUACCGGAGAAUGUUAUCACGGGAGACACACGGCGGGUGCUAACGUCCGUCGUGAAGAGGGAAACAACCCAGACCGCCAGCUAAGGUCCCAAAGUCAUGGUUAAGUGGGAAACGAUGUGGGAAGGCCCAGACAGCCAGGAUGUUGGCUUAGAAGCAGCCAUCAUUUAAAGAAAGCGUAAUAGCUCACUGGUCGAGUCGGCCUGCGCGGAAGAUGUAACGGGGCUAAACCAUGCAC
rnacentral:rRNA from 1 species